CGGUCCUAUCGUCUUCGUGGCUGAUCGCCCCGUUGCUGUCAGAGAGAAAGACAGAGCCAAGAAGACGCUGCCCGCUGGGUUUGAGAUCAGAGAUUCUGGGAUCCCUGGGGCCGGUCUAGGGGUGUUUUACUGUGGAGACGGUGGCCUUCCCAUUGGAACACACUUUGGACCCUACGAAGGACACAGGACCGAUGAAGAGGGAGCCCUAGAGUGGAUACUCCUGGGAGAUCUACAAGAGCAGAC